rnacentral:tRNA from 1 species
GUGAGUAUGGCUGAGCGGUUGAAAGCGGUGGACUGUAAAUCCAUUCUGAAAGGCGCAUAGGUUCGAAUCCUAUUACUCACACCA